rnacentral:lncRNA from 1 species
ACUUUGCCACCGCCAGCCUCGGCACCCGCGACUUACAGGCCGUGUCCACCGCUGUUGGCCGUGAGGGUACGACACUGUAAAAUAACCGUUUUUCUCUGAAACCUAAAAAAAAAAAUCUCCUGUAAAAAUAGAAAACAAGAAAAUUUUACGUACUAGAGAGCGUCCCAACAGAAAGACAGUCUGAUCAAUCUCAGCCGGCAAAACUUGAGAGAUAUUUUUUAAUAUUUUAUAUUUGACAGGCACGCCGAAGCAGGCAUAUACGGUCGAGAGCGUAAAGAAGAUGUCCGCCCCAGGAUCCGAGCUGGUGGCGUGCCACGGCAUGAAGUACGCGUACGCGGUGUUCCACUGCCACACGACGACCGCGGCCGCCUACACCGUAUCGAUGGCGGGCGCCGACGGGACGAGGGUGAAGGCGCUCGCAGCGUGCCACACCGACGCGGCGGCCGGGGUCGAGGAGGCGUUCAAGAAGCUCAACGUCAAGCCCGGGAGCGUGCCGGUGUGCCACUUCCUUCCCCAGGAUGAUCUCCUGUGGAGCCGCAAUUAACAUGGCUGAUCAGGACAUGCGAAUUAUAACGUGUAAUGGACGGCUAUAGAUUAUAAUCCGGUCUGUGAUCCACGGUUUAUUGGGCCAGCUUAUUGGUGUACUAGCGUGUACGUGUGUUGUACUAUGUUUUCUGUGUCCAUGCAGACAUGGUUUGUCCUCGUCCAUAUCUAAACUGUAUCCAUGUUUCCUCUAUGUUAUAUAAAUAAGAAAACUUAUUUUAAAAUGUUGGUUUCCUGUAGAAACGAAUGCGUGCAACUAAUUGAGAUCUCACUUGAAAAUGCCUUGGGCAAAUGCACUCAUGUCUAUGUGAUAGUGAAUUCCUGCCAUCAUUUUAUAAUAUUUUUUUUAAAAAAAGAACUCAAAGAUAUUUAAAUUAUUUUUCAAAAAGAAUCUAUAUUGUCAAAAUUAGUUUUGAUAUUACCAGAAAAGGCUAGGCAAUAGCAGAAACUUCUGUGGCAAGUGGCAACAUCAGUUUCCAAUUUCAGAUAUCUUUUGAACUAUCAAAUCCAGGAGAAGAUAAUGUGUUUCCCAACUGGGCCUUAGCAAGUUAACGGGUUUGUUCGGCAGUGCUAAGUGGGCCCGAACGAUGAUGGGCCUCAUAGACCCUAUGGGUUGUGUACUGUAAUCGGAGCCGGAUCUUGAUGCGCUCGAUUCUGCUCCGCAUCAGGUUUAGUUUGGUCCUAAUUUGACUAGGGGUCAAACGCGAGUGGUGCGCUUGGGUGCGAGAUCCUCGGGCACAGACGACUCAGGGCGCCGUGCGGUGGAAUUGUAUCCCGUGCACGGCCCACGUGCCGCAAAUGGGCCGGAGGCUAGCCCGCCCGGCCACCCAAAAUCGGCCGUGCUUGUGGCCGGGGCCAAAAUUCUUGGAACCCGGCGCCAGCACGGCCGCUUUGGCACCGCACUGUUGCACCGGCCGUGCGGGCCGGCCGGGCAGUUCGGGCAGCCCUUUUUUUAUUUUAUCAAUUUUAUUUUAAAAAUUUUAAUAUUUUAAAAAUUAAAAAUAAAAAAUAUUUUUUAAAAAAAAUAUAUAUCAAUGAGCCUGGAAGAGGCCCAAAGCCCAAACUCCCAUGCAUUGGGAGUUGGACCAUUGGGAGUUGGAUUGUGUGUUGGAUUGUAAGCCACUCCCAUCAUUGGGAUGUUGGGGUUUGUAACAAGGCCUUGGGAGUUGGUUCCCAACUCGGGUUAGCCAACUCCUACGCCUAUAGCCCAAUCCAUGCCUGGCCGCGGCUCAAAGACGGCCUGCCACAUCGGCCGGCCGUGCUGUGCCGUGGGCCGGGCCCGGGCCAAGGUAAUUCUCAGGCCGCACGGCAAAGCCGCCGGGUCGUGCGGGGCCGUCCGGCCAGCGGCCACAGUAAGCUAAGGCCCCAGCACACUAGGUUGAUGCCGGCCGGGCUGGCAACGGCCCGCUACACGUACUGCGUGGCCGUGCCUGGCCCAGCCGACUCUCGUGCCGGGCCAGGCGGGCCGCGGGCCGCCCGGCCCGUUUGACACCCCUACAGACGACUCAGGGCGCCGUGUGGUGGAAUUGUAUCCCGUGCUCUCUCUCUCUCUCUCUCUCUCUCUCUCUCUCUCUGUUUCUCCCACGUUACGAUCCAUUUCCCCAACUCGAUCGCCCCCGACGAAACCCUCGUCGUCGUCAACCUCCUCCCCCCUCUCCGCCGCGCCAUGAAACCCUCGCAGAAUAAGAAGAAGAGCAGGAAGAAGAAGCCGAAGCCCUCUUCUCCCCUUCCGCCGCCCUCCCAAAGAUCCGACGCUGAAUCGAAGGGGGACGAAGGCGAGGAGAGGAAGGACCUGGAUUGGUUGAUCGACGAUACUAACCAAUCCAUUGAUUGUUAGCUAAAAAAAGAUUAUUUUAUAUAUUUUUUCUCAACUUUGAAAAUGUUUUUUAAAUUUUCUCUCACUUGGAGUCUGAUGAGAUUUUAAGCUCAAAGAUUUAAGUAUCCUAGUACGGAAUCAUGUCAAAAUUUCAUGCGUGUCGAAUAGUAUCGAUACGUGUAUACUGGUCAUAAAAAAUAUAUUUGUGCCGACACAUAAUGUCAUGAAAUAUUUAUUUUUUUUAGCAAUAUAAUAUUACAACCGUUAAUUAUAUAUCUUUAUCAAAUAUUUUAAAUUUUAUUGAAAAAAAUUAUUUACUAAUUUAAAAAAUAUAGAGUUUUGAGCUGUGCAAUCAGUACGAGGGCAGUAUCGUGCCGAUAUCUUGUUGACAUGAUAUAGUACGAUGGAUACGGCCGGUAUUGAUGGAUAUACUUAAAUUCUUUCGUUUAAACUUGUUGGUAGCCAAAUUCCCUAAUCCCUGACCCGGUCAAAGAUACCCCUCAGGAAGCGCGUCGGGAUGCGAAACAGCUGCGAAUAGUGACCCUCGAAGUUUGCACCCUUCGACUGGAUCAAGCGAUUCGGCUAAUGAGGGAUCGGAUCAGCCGAGUUCAAAAAUCUCUACUUUUAAAUCUGUUCGGCUGGAUGAGCCGAAUGUAUGGACUGUGCAGGGAUCAAUGUCGGCAGAAGAGCCGAAUGGAAGAAGUAUACAGUAACUGGUCGGCUGAAAGAGCCGAAUACCUAUAUAUACAUAUUAAUAAAACAAAGUGUGCCUGAAGGGCAUACAGACUCUGCAAAUAUGUAGUUUACAACAGAGUGAUACCCGUGGGGCAGACAGACUUCAGAAUUCUAUUUAAAAGCUACUCCUAUGAAAACAAUAAAUGCGAAAAAGAAAAUAUUACAUUUAGACUACUUCUAGAAAGCAAUAAAUGCAGAAAAUGAAAGAUAUGAAAAUGCGGCGGUCUUCUCGUUUACAGAAGAGAAAGACCGCUAUUGCAGGCUUUGAAAUUACUAUUUAUAGUAAUAUCAACUCACAUUAUUGGUUGGUUAAAAGUAGUGGGGGGAGUGGUUGUAACCAUGAUCGUGGAGGUUACGCCCACUCCUCAUAGAAGUUACGCCCUAUCGUAGAAGUUACGCCAACUUUUCAUGGAAGUUACGGCCCACUUCUCAACCGUUCUCGCCUAAACCUUCAGUCGCCUUAUUGCCUGCCGACUCCUGAUGUGCUACGCAGGGACGAAGCCAGAAUUCAAUCACAAGGGGGGCCAAAAUAUGUACAAAUAAAAAGUUUAGCAGAUAAAUAAAAUUUUAACUACUCAAAUUUUUAAUAAAAAAAUUUAGUGAUUAGAUAAUUAAUGUUAAAAAAUAUUAAAUUUAUUUUUUUAAUUUACACUUGCUUAACUUCUAAUUAUUUUAUUUGUAUUAUUUCAUUCAAAUAAUUUAAGAAUUUUACUAAAUCUAAUAAAAAUUUAGUUAGAAUUUAAUUUUUUUUAAAUUUUUGUUAAUAAAAUAAUAACAACCAAUGACUAAUAUCUAACAGAGCUAUUAAAUUUAGCAUACUAUUUUAUUUAGUUAAAUAAAUUAGCUCAUCAAAAUAAUUGGAAAGUUAAGAAUGUAUAAAUAAAAUAUUUAAAGUUGAAAGGACUUAUUUCAAAAUGCACUAUAAUUAAAAGGUUCUUAAUAUAUUUUCACCUAUAAAACACAUAAGAAGAGAGAGAGAGCUCUAUAUUAGCACUAAAAACUUUUUACAAAAUAGGCCGAUAUAUUUUAAAAAUUAACUGAAAAUAUAUAAACUACCAAAGAACUAUAAAGUAAAUAUUGAAAAGUUGAAGAGGGUCAUAGCUCCUUUGGGUCUAUAUAUGGAGUCUUGGCCCACAAGGCAACAAUUCUUUUCAAAAAUUUUCACUUUGGUCCCCUAAAUUUACAAUAUUUUAAUUUUUUUAAUAGCUUACUAGUGGAUUGUUCUGUAAUUUUAAAAAUGGGGGGGGGGUAUGGCCAUUGUCGGCCCCCACAUGGCUCCGUCCCUGGUGCUACGUAUCUUUAUUGAUUCAUACGUGGUUUACUUAAUUUUAAUUUUGGCAUCAAUAAAACUCAUGACUUCUUAAUUUACUACCAUGCACGUAAACUUUAUUUUCAGCAUUUAUAAUUCACAACAACCAAAACAACCAGAAAGAAUCUGUGACAUUACACCGGCCCGUGAAUGACCAUAGGCGUCAAAAUCCAAAUUAAUACUCGGCUCCAUUUGCUCCAUGAUUGCAUUGGGUCGAGCCCAUGCUCGUGCUAGAAUCACUUUCUCUCACAGUCGCCUCUUUAUGGGAGAUAGCCCACCUCUAUGGCUCUAUGCUGGCCUUUUUCUCUACCCCUACCUCUAUAAAUCCAACCCUGUUCCUCCUCACACCAUGCACAACAACAACUACUAUAUAUUUCUCAUUAAUUAAUUAAUUCGAUCUCUCUUGAAUCCAUGGCUCGCCUUUUGCCUCUCCUCUCCUUUCUUUUGGUGAGCAAAUUCAUAUACGCGACAUGCAUGCUUUCGUUAAAACAAGUGAUUCUGUAGAAGCUCUAGCUAAGUUGAAUCGGCGUGCGAUAACGUGACAUAAGUUGUGUUUUUAAGUGGAUCUAGAUAUAUAUGAUUAACUGUGCGUAAAUUAAGGAGAAAACAUUUGAUGUUCGCGCGUAUAUACAACGUGCGGCACCAGCUUAGUACCUUUUAGACCUAGAAAUGAUCAAAAUAACUGAAAUUCGUAGAAUUAUGAUUUUUUUAAAUUUUUACUUUCUUCGUGGUUUUAUUUGGCAGAUAAUGUUGUCUUUUUCCCUCACAAUUUAUUAUUUUAUUUUAUUUUUUAUAUAUAACAAAUUAUUGAUUGAUAUUUGUAUAUUUCAGCUGGCCAUUGCAGUAGGAGCGAGACAUGCAGCUUCGCCUGCAGAGGUCUACUGGCAGAACGUCCUGCCCAACUCUCCCAUGCCGAGCGCAAUCCGUGACCUGCUGCUCCCUGGUUGCUCUCUCUCUCUCUCUCAAUUAUUUUUUCUUAAAAUUUUAAAAUAUUAAAUGACAGUGUUAAAAUUUUAAAAUAUUAAAUAACAGUAUUUGUGUUUAAUUCGUAUUCAAAGUUAGCCAACUUUUGCGAGGUUUUAAAAUAACGCAUCUCACAUAGUUAGCAAAAGAACUUAUGAGUAUCCCAACUAGUUAAUACUUUUAGUUAAGUUUAUUUCUAAAAAAUGAAUGAAACAAGUAAUAUACUAUUUUUCUCUUUUAAAAAAAAAUCACUAGAUUUAGCAAAAUUUGAUAAAAAUUAUAAUCAAAUGAUCUCACAUCGUAAGAAAACAAAUUAAUGCCUAUCCCAUCUAUUUGGUUGGAAACGCACGCAUGAAAAAAAAAUAAAUAAAUAAAACUGUGAUUUGGAAAAAAAAAAAAAAAAAGAAAGAAAAAAACUCAUCUUUCCACGUUUUUUGGAAUGAAAGUUUAAUAGAGAAAAAAAUGAAGAGCAAAAAAAAUUACUCAUAAUAACAACUUUUUCUUAUCUCCUAAGUAUGAGAGAAAAAUAACAUUCUAAAAAUAUUUUUUAAUUAUUUUUAAAAAUAAGCGGGGGACUUCAAUUAUAAUCAUGCAUGCACACAAGCGCUAUCGAAUCUCAGUUACUACCCCUUAAUUCAAACAGUAUAUAUAUAUAUAUAGAGUCCGGCUACUAUACUAUCUAUAGUACGGGAGCUUCCGUACUAUAGUGUCGUUUUCGAUCUUCGGGCGUUCAAAUCAACGAUCCACACCGUUAAAACUGAUCUAGGAUAUUUAAAGUUUUUAGAAAUAAAUUUUUAUAUUUUUUCGACAUAGUUUACUUUAUGAUCAAAACAUUUUAAAAUUGUCAAUUUUCAAUGGCUAUUAUGACGAGUUGGGAGUUUAACGGUGUAGAAGAAUCUAAAUUUCUUCAAAUUUUGAUAGAAAAUACUUUAAACUAUAUAGAUUAAGGUUAACAUUCUUGAUCUUGAAUUUAAAAGUCCUAUGCUCAAAUUUUAAAGAGUAUUCAAUUCCCACCGUCAUUUUGACAUAAUUUAUUUACUAAGUAAACGAUGUCGAAAAAAUAAAAAUUUAUUUCUAAAAACUUAAAUACCCUAGAUCAUUUUUAACGUAUGGAUCGUUGAUUAAUGCCCAAGAUCGAAAACUACACUAUAGUACGGGAGCCUCCACUAUAUAUAUAUAUAUAUAUAUAUAUAUAUAUAUAUAUAUAUAUAUAUAUAUAUAUAUAUAUAUAUAUAUUACGAAUUAUGCUAUUAUAUUAUCGAUAGUAUCAAAUAUUUGAUGCUAUUAGAUUUUCGACCUUUAAAUAAAAGAACGUGUGAUUAGAAUAAUAACAAAUUCUUCGAAUUGAAUGGAUGGUUGGUUGAACAGUAUUAAUCUAAUAAAUGACAAUGAUCAAAAGAAUAAUUUUAACAGCGAAAAAUUUAAUAGCACCAAGCGUUUGAUAUAGUAUACUAUAUUUUAAAUAUUUGUCUUUUUUUGAAACAUAUAGGAAAAGUAACCACCUCAGCGAACGUAGACGGAGUAGGCUCCGUGUUCUUCCUGGAGAAGGACCUGCACCCGGGCUCAAAGAUGACCCUGCAUUUCACCCGGACCGCCUCCACCGCCACCGUGCUCCUCCCGCGCCGCGUCUCCGACUCGAUCCCUUUCUCUUCCGCCAAGCUCCCGGAGAUACUCUCCCGCUUCUCCGUCGACGCCGCCUCUGCAAGGGCUGACGCCAUCAAGAGCACCCUCACCGAGUGCGAGGCCCCAGCCCUCGGCGGCGAGGACUGGCUCUGCGUCACCUCGCUCGAGUCCAUGGUCAACUUCACCACUGCCAGCCUCGGCAUCCGCGACUUACGGGCCGUGUCCACCGCUGUCGGCCGUGAGGGUACGACACAGUGAAAUAACCGUUUUUCUCUGAAACCAAAGAAAAAAAAAUCUAGUGUAAACAUAGAAAACAAGAGAAUUUUAUGUACUAGAGAGCGUCCCAACAGAAAGAUAGUCCGAUCAAUCUCAGCUGGCAAAACUCGAGUGAUAUUUUCUUAAUAUUUUAUAUUCAACAGGCACGCCGAAGCAGGCAUAUACGAUCGAGAAUGUAAAGAAGAUGUCCACCCCAGGAUCCGAGCUGGUGGCAUGCCACGGCAUGAAGUAUGCGUACGCGGUGUUCCACUGCCACAUGACGACCGCGGCCGCCUACACCGUAUCGAUGGCGGGCGCCGACGGGACGAGGGUGGAGGCGCUCGCAGCGUGCCACACCGACGCGGCAGCCGGGUCGAGGAGGCGUUCAAGAAGCUCAACGUC